AUGCUCUUAUAUUUCUUUACAGAGGGAGUACAAGUUAAGUGCAGGAAUUCAGUAAAUAAUUCUGAGGUGUGGAACCUGAAGAAGUGUUUUCAGCUGCAGAGAAACAGAGGAGCUCACCGGCAGCUAGUUGGCUGCGAUCUUCACGUCCGGGUUGCGCAUCGGCUUGAGCCACAUGUCGGCGACCACCCUCGACGACAUGCUCCAGAGCACGUCGGUCCCGACCUUCCCCGCUGCGGCCCCCGACGGCCGUCCCUUCUUGCCGGCCUUGCCGAGCCCGUAGGCGACGAGCCAGUGCGUCGCCGUCAGCCUCUGCCUCUCGCCGUCCCACACGCUACGCCGGUCGGCCGUCUUCAGCCGCAUGCCCCCGACGUGCAUGUUGGCCACCUUGAACCUGGUCUCGCCAUCGGCGCCGGUGGCGGCCCGUCCCGCCUGGAUUACCACGAUGGACGGCGCGCCGACCGCCUCGUACCGGCGCAUGGGGUCCCUCAGCUGCGCCACCACCAGCAUGGUCGCCGCGUCCGCGCCGGCGCACGCGCUCGCCCACUCCUCCGGCGGCACGGCGGCGUCCAGGGGGUGCCCGCCGUCCGCCGCGUCGGUGACCGGGGACACGUCGAAGGGAGCCUGCUCUUCGGCGGUGCCGGCCUGCACCUUGAGCGCUUCGAUGGCCAUCGUCUCUAUCUUUUGCAGCGAGAACGGCAGGAUCUCGUCCACGGUCACCGGCGCCUCAUGGGCGUUCCAGAUGCCGGUGGCGAUCCUCUCCUUGCGCCCGUCGCUCAUCGCCGCCGACAUUGUCCGGAGCAGAGAGACGGACUCGGCCGCGCUGGAGCUCGCGCCGAGCUCCUUGCUCCGCGCGCUGAUGAUCGCCGACGCCAUGCCCUCGAAGGCGAUCUGCUCUGCCGUCUUGCCGACUACCUCGUCGGUCGCGGUGAGUGCACCCAGCUUCGCGCACAGGGCCUCGCAUCCGCCGGCGCACAGCCGCUGGAACACCUCCGCGCCGCCGCCGGGGAGCUUCUGGCCGCGGAGGAUGAACGGCUUGGACAGUUGCAUGGCGAGCUUGGGAAGCUCCUUUCUAACAACCGGGAUGUCAAACGGGUUCGUUGCGGCCAGGUAGCCGCCGUCCCGGGUCUGCACGAUGGGGCCAAGCCCCUUGCCGAGGUCGGAGAUGUAGCAAGCCUCGUCGGCGCCGGUGCCCGGCUUCGCGCUGGACUUGAGCGAUGA
rnacentral:rRNA from 1 species